rnacentral:rRNA from 1 species
UACAGAGGGGGCAAGCGUUAUUCGGAAUUACUGGGCGUAAAGGGCGCGUAGGCGGCACUGUUAGUCAGGCGUGAAAUUCCUGGGCUCAACCUGGGGACUGCGCUUGAUACGGCAGAGCUAGAGGAUGGAAGAGGCUCGCGGAAUUCCCAGUGUAGAGGUGAAAUUCGUAGAUAUUGGGAAGAACACCGGUGGCGAAGGCGGCGAGCUGGUCCAUUACUGACGCUGAGGCGCGACAGCGUGGGGAGCAAACAGG